CCUCCUGGUAAUAGUCAAUUGACGUAGCACAGGAGAGGUGUAACAUUUGACCUUAUAGCCAUUGUCAUUUUAUUAAUUACACCCUUUGGAAUGUUGUUUUUAAAUGUUACGUUGCUGUGUUUAGAUGUUAUUAAAAUUCAAAUCAACAAUUCAAGACUUUGCACCAGAUGAGCUGCUAUGAGAAGCGCAACCACAGUGCUUCCCUUCAGUGUGCUCUGGAUGCGACAGCCCACCACAGAGAGGAAGUACCAGUCAGCAUUACAAUUAUGCCAUGGGACAGCAAAGGGAGAAGCAGGCAGAAAAACAAGUACCUCUAAGGAACCCAAGCUUACUGACAAAGAACCAGCUGUCCUGGAGAAGAGUUUGCUCCAGAUAAAAGGGCAAUGAACCUUUAAAACAAGCAGCCAUGACAGCAUAUUUGCCUCCUC